rnacentral:lncRNA from 1 species
UGAUUAGAUCUAUAGGAAUUCAUAAACAAACUAUAAAGAUUUAUAAAAAUUAUCAAACAUACCCAUACAAAACAACUCAUAAUAAUGUUGCAAAAGUUCAAACAAAACAAUACGAGUCUAAUCAAAAAACUAAAACAAUUCAUAAACUUAAGUUUUCAUUAUUAGCUAUUAAUUAUUUAAAAGUAUAUUAUUAAGCUUUCAUCUCAAUGGAUGUGAAUUAUAAACCCAAAAUAAGAGGUGCGUACCGGAGCGUCUCUCUUUGGACAAGGCUAAAAAUUUAAGUAUACUUAAAAGUUAUAUGACUACUAUGAAUCUUAAAUCUAUUUUCUUGACUUUGUUAUUCUCCUGGUCUGGUUAAAGUUACACCAUGGUUUAGCCUUGUUGGUUUGCACUUCAACACUCUCAGAAUGUCUUAUCAUUUUUGAAAUUGACAAGUAGUUUUUUUUUGGAGAUUUUAUAAUUUUAUUGUAUAGAUAUAAUUAUUUAACAUUCUUUUGAAUAAAAAGACUUGUUUGCCCCAAAGUCGUUUACAAUUGCAUAUAAUUUCUUUUGAUUCAUAAAUAGUGCUACCUCCUAUUUUAAAUUCCUGGUUUGGUUGUUGUAUAUACCCUCUGUCGUUUUGAAAUGAGACAGAGCACAAAAUAAAAUAAAAAUAAAAUAAAUUGAGAUAUUUCGUCAUAUAUAUAUUCUGUCUAGGGAUGACAAUUUGAACCCGAAAAUCCGAGAUAACCGUUGGGCCCCGUCCCGUUAGGGCGGGGUUUGGGGGGAAAUAAAAACCCGAUGAAUAAUCGGGGCGGAGCGGGCGGGGGUUUAGCCUCCUUCCACCACCGCCGAACCCGUCACGAUUACUCCGAUUCUAUAUAAAACACCUAAAAUUAUUUAUAUUUUUUUAAAAAAGAUAACCAUAACAGCUUACGAUAGAUAGAGAGAGACCAAUAAUUAUUCUAAUCUUCUUUUAAAAAAAAAUAUAUAUAAUUAAAAAAAAAUUAAACGGGGGAGGGGCCGGCGGGGCGGGGGGUGGGAUUUUGGUUUGUAAACGGGGGGGGGGGGGGGGAAGGCCGACCCGCCCCAACCCGACUCCGUGCCAUCCCUAAUUCUGUCUCAUUGGAAAUAGUCUCAUACUGGGUGUUCAUUUUUCCAUAGGGCUAUGAACCAGUCAUUUGAACUUGCUCUGACACCCACUUAGAAAACUGAACGAAUGUUCCAAAACCCAGAAUGUGAAUGGAAAUGUUUGAGAAAUGCAUUCGAAUCAAUUCUAUCCUGGGUGCCAUGAUGAAAUAGUAUACUAUAAUGCAAGGCCAAUUUGGCCCAGAAGAAGGAUAAAAGGUCCUGGUGCAAAGUGAUGCGACGAUAAAAUUGAGAAUUUACACGUUUGUGUUAUGUAUACAUCUGUGUGGUGUGUGUGUGAGAUACACGUGUCAUGAAGUGUGAUGUAUAUAUGAGGAGGUCAAGGUUGCAAAAUUGAUGCGACUAUAAAUUUAGAAAUGUAACGUUUGUGUUUGUAGGUGGAGCGAGAGAGAGAGGAGAGAGAGAGAUGGCACCUCAUGUCAUGUGUGUUGUAUGCAUAUUAUGAGAUCUUAGAAAAUUGUCAUCAGCAUGAGAUUUAUUUUGAGGAGAAAGGUCAAUGCGCCGCCCGUGAGAUUGCAUACCCGAUCCCUUUCCUCUGCAAAUGGGGUGGGUCCCAAACUUGUCCAAUCAGACCAAGAAAAUCCAAAUACAAACAUCAUGUUUUUGGAUCCAAACACAAAAAUCCAAUUACAAAGCACGCGAGCUAAUGGACAUGUCCAGCUAGAUACAUGUUUAUACCAGGAAAGGCAACCCCCAGACAGAGAAUUGUUAGAAUUUUUAUUCAGUAGUUAGUAGAAUGCUUGUCAUUGCAAUCCAAGAAAUAGCGAAUGCUUUGUUAUUGCAAUCCAAGCAAUACAUAUUGCCUCGCCUCCUUGCCGCGUGGCGUGAAUCCGCGACAGAAAGAAAUGCCGCGUUCAGCAAUUGCCUCCAGCCACGGCCGGGAACCGGCAUAAUGCCCCUGCUAGAGAGAGAGAGAGAGAGGGGUAUAAAUAUAGGGUGUUAAACUAUAGUAUCUAAUUAAUUCUGUUUAAGAAAAUAAUAUGUUUUUCACAAAAAAAAUUAUAAAAUGAUGUGACAGUGACAUUUAAUAAAUAAAAAUAUAAAAAUAAAUUCAUAAUGUAUUGGGUGGCUGGGAGCUACAGUUGUAUUCAUCUCGUUAUAACUACUAACCAACCUCUAAUGCGUUCUAACGAAUUUUGAGACCGGUUGGCUUAAACAAAAUAUAUUGAGAAAAUUCUAUUAAUUACGAAAUGUCACAAUUAUAUUAUCUUGGUAAAAAAAAAAAUUGGAUUUUAAUAUUACCAAAAAUGAGAGUGGCACAAAAAAUUGGGGACAAUGUGAAAUAUUUGUUAAGAACGCUGUUAGAUUCGCAUAAUCAUAAUGGUGGAGGUGGAAUUUGGCAGAGGGAUUACAGAGGGAAAUGCAGAGGAGAGAGAGAGGAGCGUGAAGAACCUGAAAAUCUAUGAAAGACAUGUAUGACCUAUUUUUGUAUUCGCGUAAUCAUCGAGAAAAUAUUAUUUCUAAGUGAUCAUAAAAUAUUAAAUUUUUAAAUAUUCAUUAAUACAUUAUGAUUGGAUUUACGAAACUCAUGUCAACCUUCAUAUUAUAAGCAAUGUAACAUCGUCCUCGAUUUGAAAAAAGAGGACAAAUCGCAAUGUAUCAAUGGAAAAAAACUUUUUUUCAUUUGAAGCGGUACUUGAAUCUCACUCGCCCUCACUCCAAACUCAAAUAAUAGUAUAGUGUGCAUGUCUUCGAUUUGUUGUGCUGGUGGUAUUCCAUAUAUGAAAUAUGACUCACUUUGUAAUUAGAAUUCAUUGGUGUUAACAACAAAACCACGAGCUCCACCAGCAUUAUUUUUAUAAUUUUUCUUUUCAUAAACCAAUUAUGGAACACCCCGUUUCUUUUAAAAACAAGACUAAACUGCACGAUCCGAGCCCUUCAGUUGAUUCAUUUUCUUUCUCCCUAAAAACUAUUAUCUUGUGGACCCAAAAUCUCAUCACCACCACCAUUGUGGCAAAGUGCUUCCUAGUGUGGAACAAGUUUAGGAUUGGGGCGGCCGACUCGUAGUGGCGCCGCCAUGCCAAGACUUUUUAUUCUCUCACAUGGCUAUUAUUAUUCAAAAGGGACAAAACAUUUAAUGGAAAGUUUGUUUUAAAAGUGCAUGUGUUCAUUUCACCUAGAACUCUUUUUAUUUGUUUCCAUCACUUUUGAAAACAAAGUCACGCCAACCAUUAACUUUUUCAAUUUGCGUUUUAAGUAAUGAUUAGAAACUAAAUAGUUUACAUAUAACCGCCCUUAUUAUACUGAUACAAUACAUGAAUACAUAUAUGGAUGAAUUUCAUCGUCAAGUUUGUCACAUGUAAUUUAUUAUAUUAGUUACUACCUUAUUUAAUAUCAAUAUAUUUUUCAAUUUUUUAAAGCCAAAAUUUGUCUUUCAACAUUCCCAACUAAAGUAAUUUCUUUUUUCUUUUGAUUGACCCAAUAAAGUGGAAAGGUUUUAAUUUCACCUUUUGAUAAGAGGUAAUUGUCUGAUUAGUGCCCGUUUGGCCUAGAGCGUGAUGAACCCAAAAGUCUCCCGGACCUAUUGUUAAGAAUAGUGAAUUAUUUUUUAGCUAUGUAAGUUAAAAUGAAGUAUAAACACACUUGUACAUUGAUACUACCCUCUGAUCUUUAAGAUCCCUUUAUCUCAAGGGUUGAUAUGGGAUUUGAUUUGGAAGGCUUGUCGCCGUUUGGCUUACAUAUUUUAAAUUAUCUAAACAAAAUUUGGCUUUUUGAUUGAGAGAAUGAUUUUUUUUAGCUAGGUUUUUCGAGAUUUGUUUGGCCUAGAUUCUUUUACUAACCCAGCAGCCAUUUGUAAUUUUUACUAUUCAUGAUAUAGCUAAAAAUUUUAGAUAUUUUUUAGUGAUCCCAAAUAAAAAAGAAUAAUAACUUUUUAUCUCAUGUUUUAAUUUUAACUAAAAAUAAAAAAUUAAAGAUUUUUAGUUAUUUCAAACCGUACUCAUUGCUUGGCGUCCAAAUGCGGACUUAAAAAGUAAAGAAAUAUUCAUCCAAACCACUUUUUAAAUAUAGAAUGUGCUAAGGCUUAAUUGGGCUAAUAAUUAAACUAUUUAGUUUUUUUGAAUUUGUUAUUUAGUGAGCUUUUUAUUAUUAAUUUUAAAAUUUUAUAUUUUUUUUAGUUCUCUUAUAAAAGAAUUUACAAAUAAAAAUUGACUAACUGAAAAAAAAAUCUUAAAAAAAUAAUAAAAAUAUAUUUUUUACUCAAGGACAUAAACUAUUUUUUUUCAAGGGCACACAAAGGACAACAUGUUUCAUAAAAAAAAAAUAUGGGUUAUACCUACGAAAUUGGAGUUCGGAUCCUCUUAAGGUCCUCUUUGGCUGGAGUAUUCCUGGAGUAUAAAAACGAAUUGUUUUGUAGUUUUGUAUAUUCAGAAACACUUCAGCCAAGAUGCACUCAGAUGAUCGAAUCACGAAAAGGACCAAGCUAGGUAUGUUGAAACAAUCACAAUGCGCCACAUCAUCACUAAGUAGAUUUGAUUAAAAAGACUAUAUUAUAAUGAUGGAAGAGAAUAUUGAUAGAAAGUCGUAUUUUAUAGCAGAAAGUAGGAGGAAGAUUUGAACCAAGAUAUUGCACGUGGUAAAAAAAUACAUGAUUAAAUAAAAAAAGAUUAAGAAAAUAAAUUAAGGACUUAUUCGGGAUAAAUUGAAUUACUGUGAUUAUUUUUUAUUUUUUUUUAAUUUUUGUUUUCUGGGAUUAAUGAAUUGAAAAAGGGAAAAAUACAAAAAUACCACCAAAAAUUCCAAUACUUCAAACUAAUUCAAUUUCGAAUUAAUAUAUAUUAGUGAUUCUCUAAUUAGGAUGAAUUAAGACAAAUAAUAUUUUUGACAAAAAAUACUUUUAAUAUAAAAUUAAUUUUAAAUAUUCAAUUUAUCCCACUCCGAACCUAAAUAGGUUGCAUAAGUUGGACUUAUCCAUUCUUUAAGAAAAAAAAAAAUAGAAGGCAUAAGAAAACGGGAAAUUUAUAUGUACGUCCAUGGAUGAUUCGUGGCAGCAUUUGAGUCGUUGGCCACGUACAAGUCAAUGAAAUGACCGUACGUAGAUUUUCCUCACCGGCAAGAAAGAAUAAUUCCACGUCUGGCCUAAUAUUUCCACGCUUUGAUGGCGGUAUGUGGGUGUUUUUUCGCGGGAAGUGUGGAUUUAGGCUCCUUGUUACUAGAAAAAAAAAAUUUUUUUUUAGUUUUUUUUUUGGCUUUUGAACUUAAAAUCAAUAAAAAAAAAUCAAUAGAGUUGUUUUUUACUUUUUUACUUUGUUUUUUGCUUAAUUACUAAAAAUAAAGCCCAAAAUAAAAAAAUAAAAUUUGACCUUUAAAAAAUAAAUUUUAAAAAAAAUCGUAAAUUUUAAGCAGUAUCAAACGAGCAGGCCCUUUCAAGCACAACCACACGACUGUAACUCCUUCCUCCAUUUGAUUAUCCAACCGGCAACCAUGGUGUGCCACGUCACCAACGUUUAGGAUCGUCAUGCAAGUUGAACGUAAGAAAAAAUAGAGAAAAAUCGAGAAAAUCGAAUCCACCAAAAAAAAUUAUUGAAAAUUCGGUUUGAUUUGAUUUAGUGUUAAUCAGUUGAGGUUUGGUUUUUAAAAUUUCAAAAAAAAAAUUUAAUUAGAUUUUGAUUUUGUGAUGUAUUAAAUUGAUACAAUCGAAACCGAACCGAAUUUAGAAUAUAUGGUUUACUAUUAGAUCUACUGCGUCAUUCAAUAUAUAACACACAUUUUAAUCUGAGUUUGUGUUAGUUGGCUUGCUAUUUUUACUUGUAUUUUUUUUCUAUCGUAAAUGUUGCACAUUCCUUGAAACUUUUUUGGCCCUUAUUAAAGUCCUAUUGGAGCUGUAAACUUUUUAAAUUUUUAAUUUUGAAACUUGUUAAUUAUAUAUUGUUUCGAAAUUUGAUGAAUCAAGUGGAUAUUUUUAUGGAGGUCCAAAAAAUUUGGGGCGGGGGGAGGGAGGGAAAUUGUUGAAAAAUAUUACCGAAACAUGCUUUACAAAGAAUUAAUAAAUAAUGUGAAAAAAUAUUUAUAAAUUCAAUAUUAUGCGUAAAAUUAUGUAACCAAUUAUGUAUACAAUAUGCAAAAAAAUAUAAGGAAAGGGUUAAUCAAGUCGAGUGUUGGACACUCUUUUCUUAAGACAGUUUCUCUCCUCCCCAUAAAGGUGCUCAUGGAUCUAACGGGCGUCUAUCUACAAGAUAAAAUGAUCACGACACUGAAUAACUCACUAUAAUAUUCAGGUCCAGCGGAUGCAAAUUUUAAAUUCACUCUCCAUGUACAAUAUGAAUAUGAUAUGAAAUGAAAAUCAAAGAGAAUUUUUUGUCUAAUUCGACACAGAAUUAUGAUAUUAAAUUCUAUACAAAAACCUACAUUAUUUCUGAUAAAAUCAUAAUGCAUGAUUAUAAAUGACAGUAUUUUUUCACAGAAAAUAGGCUGCUAAACUAUAGAAUUUUACACAAAAAAUUUAUACAGUAACACAUAAAUAAAGUAGAAAAAUUUUCACAGAAAUUUUCUACACACAGAUAUAAUAGAUUUUAAUUCGGUAAAUCAAACGCAAUUAAUUAACCAAAACCUGGAACAGUCGUUGAAAUCCACGAACAAAAGAUAUUUCUGGUACAGUCACUGAAAAAAUUCAAUCAGAAUUUCGCCGAAAUUGACGUCGGAGAUUCUCCGGAAUCUGGGCAAUACUUCGUCUUCUUUAGAGAGAGAGAAAAAAUAAAAUUCGUAUUUUUCUAUCUAUUUCUUACAUUAAAACAGAGGAGAAAUAUUUCUAUUUAUAGAAAUAUUCCACCCUUUCGAAAUGGUACCAGCCAAACGCAUCCUUAGGAGGAGUUGUAACCCUUCGUCACAUCCAAACGAGGCUUACAACGGUUGGAAUUUUAAUUUUAAAUUCAAAAUAAAAGUAAUUAUUAAAUAGGCCCAAACCUUUUUAAUAUUAUUAAUUUAGACCAACACCGACACCAGCUGAGCUGAUGGGUGGGUUGCACGUGUAGGGUAUGGGUCGACUAACCAUGGUUACAUAGAUCAUUUCCUUUCACACAAGUGAUUCCCCUUGGGGCCCCCAAACCCGUAACCAAACUUAAACUUUUAUAUCACCACUUUUUUCAUAGAAAAUCAAUUGGGAGCAAGCCUUUAGUUUUAAUCUAAAAGUCUUACUCAUGUUUCCACUUUGUGAAGGGCCAUUAUUUCAUUUAAUCUCAUGAUUUGAUCAAAUUAAGUACUUGUUAUUCAUCGCCUCAUGGAGGAGAACACAAAACAAUUUUAGACAUACUACAAGGACAUGUGGGUCCCACGUUAAAAUUUGACUCAAAGUUGGUGUUUUCAAAAUAAUUCCAACAAAAAAAAUUUUAAAAAUAUAGGUUUUUAAUUUCACAAUUCUACAAACGAACUUUUUUUGUUAGAACUUUAAUUUAAUUUCGGUCAAAUGUUGAACCGAUCGAACUGACAUGCACCCCAAUUGAAACACCAACUUAACAUGGUGACUCACCCAACAUAUUUACCAAAGUUGGGCAUUUAAACACUAGCUGCGUAAAAUACCUAGGGUUUAUCCACCAAAUCUCUAAGUUGACAUUCAUAUUUAGUAUAAAGGUUAUAGAUGACUCUUCCAGAGUUGGUGAACCGUACUCAUGUUAGAGUAUGAGUUCUGAUAUGCAUAUGUAUGAACUCGCAUUUACUGCUACAAAAUGAGCGGGUGAAUUUGCAAUUUUGCCUAUAAUUUUGUAUUAAACUUUCAAUAUUGAUCAUACUAAGUUUGUACAAGAGAGGUGCUUCCCCACCCCCACCCUCUUCAAAAAUUUUUUUAGUUAUUUUGUUUUUAAAAUCAUUUUUUUUAUGCUUUUUUUUAUUAUUUUAUUUUUCUUCUUUUGGAUAAAUAUCACACUAAUAACUUGCGAACAAAUGCUUUUUUUUUUCAAAUGAAAAGUCUCUAGUAAUAGUCUUCCAAUCUUUGCGUUUUUACCCAGAGCUCUGGUUCCUGUCCCCCCCUCUCUCCCGGCCGCUCUAAAUUUUAAAAUCAUAUAAUCUCCAAUUCUAACUCCACUCUAGCUUGGUGAUAUACCUAUUCCUACUCUUCCACCGGGGAUGCGCCCCUUCCCCGGGGGCCGUUCUCAUAUAGCAACCCACCUUUUAGCUUCGUAUGCUGAAUAUUUCACCUACCACAUUGGAAUGUGGGUCAUUUAAGGGAGUGAAAAGGUUCUGACCUUGUUCAAGGUUUGGGGGCAUUUUGCUUAAUAAGCAUACACUAAACAAUAAAAGAAAAAUAAAUAAAAUAAAUUGAUAAAACAAUAAAAAAACUAAUAAAAAAUAUUAAUGGAAAAAAAAACAAAACUAAAAAAAAUUAACAAAACUUAAAAGAAUAAUUUUUUUUAUUAGUUUUAUAAUUUUUUACAAAUAUGACCCAAAAUCUACAACUAUAAAAAAAAUUACAAAUAUAUAAUAAAACAAUUAUUAUCAAAAAUAAAUAAACCCUCAUCACAAAUUAAAAAUUUUGAUUUACAAAAAUAAACAAUAUAAAAACUAAACAAAACAUAAUAAAAAAAUUUUAAAAAAUACAAAACUGAAAAAAAACAAAUAGAGAGGAGAGCACAUUGGGGCAAUAUCAUAAUUGUCCUGUGGACAAUUGUGUCAAGGCGCGGAAGGAGGAGUAGCAAUUUUCAUUGGGUACAAAUAUGAAUUCCACCUACUUUUUUCAUACUUAUUCACGCAAACCAAUAUGAAUUCCACCUAAUUUAAAACUCAUUAUAAUACUUUUACUAACAUUGACUUCAUUUUCCUAGAUGUUUUCUUUUAUUUUUGCCCUGUGUUGCAAUCUUACACUAAAACACUGCUCAGAAAAUUGUUGAACCAUUGAAUUUAACAUGAAAAACAUGCAUAAAUUUAUUAAAAUCCAAGAAGAAUGUGAAUCCAAAUAAGGUUUAAAGUUAUCAAUUUAAGCUAAAAUUCUAUGGAAAGAAUUGCAUUCAAAACAACACUUCUAUUAACUUUUUAUUUUUUGCUAACAAUAAUUUUGAAAUUUAAUGUGUGUAAGAGCCAUUUAUGAGUCUUAUGUUUGCCCUAAGGACGAUAAUUCUUGGUUCUAUCCCUGAAAUAUUUGCCUGAUUGGUUUAUGUAAGACUUUGUAAGCCCCACUACGAGACCCUCUAGAGGUCUCACUGCCCAGUUAUCUGGGAGUUUAGCCAUGUCUUAAAAAAAAAAAAAAGAAAGUUAGGCAAUACGAGUUUCUACAUAUCUCUUUAAAUGGAGGUUAUAUUACAAUACUUAACAUUUUCUUUAAAAGUUAUUAAAACCUUAUCUCUGUAUGUAUAUGAGUAUUCGUUUGAGUAUAACCCAUUUACAACCAAGAUCAAUCAACCUGUCUAUAUUCUUUUUUAUAUAAAUUUCUUUUGUAAUAUAUUUUUUAGAUCUAUAACUUAUUUCCCAAUAUUUCAGAUGUAUGAAAACACUUCACUGUAUUGGGUCUAUUAACUUUUUCGUUAAGUUAUGACCAAUAUAGUAUAUUUGUCACUCUAGUUGACUACUGUGUAGGAAAUUGCUGCAUAGAACACCGAAUAGCCUAUCAAUCCAUAGACAACCAAACACACAAAUUUGUACAACGGGACCAGCAUCAAUAUCGUACGUACAUCGUAAUUAUUACUACAGAGAUAAGAGAAGGGCCAUGAUAUAUGGAAGUAAUGUGUGAAAGCAUUUAAUUAACGAUUUACUAUAUUUUACAUCUUAAUUUAAAUCAUCGUAUGCCAAAGCAUUUACUAUUUUACUAAUCUACAAUUUUGUCAUCCUCAAUAAAUCAUCUAUUCAAAAAAAUCCCAUUGAGAGAAAUCUAAUACAUCUUAAUUACGUUUUGGACAUGGAGUUUUUUAAAAUUUAAAUUUUGAAUUUUAUCGUAAAGUUUGAUAAUUGU